CCUCCUCAUCUCCAUCAUAAGUGCACUGCAGCUAAGGAGCUGUGACAUUUUGACACCACACGAAAUCUUCUUCAGACCUUCGUCCAGCGCAGUUAGAAAGAUCCCAGACAAGUUGUUGGCUUUGUCUCUCUGCUGUGCCACUAUGAGGGCCAACUGACGUGAAAGGAAGAAGAUCGAAACAGACUGCAGGCACAUUGAUCUGUAGCCGCAGGACUCCCACCAUGCCAUUCUGCAUUAUAAGCAAACAGAAACACAGCGAAUAAAAAGGGAAACGAGUGAAGUCAAAGAUGUCUAAGCCUCUUCCCUCCUCUGCCGCCUCAGUUCCAGUUCAGCCUCAGUAAGAAGUUUCCUCUUCCUCGUUGGAAUUCCAAGGGCUACCGACA